rnacentral:tRNA from 1 species
GGUGGCUCAGUGGUAGAGCACUUGCCUUGCAUGCAUAAGGCUCUGGGUUCAAUUCCUCAGCACCA